rnacentral:rRNA from 1 species
CCUACGGGUGGCAGCAGUGGGGAAUAUUGGGCAAUGGGCGCAAGCCUGACCCAGCAACGCCGCGUGAAGGAAGAAGGCUUUCGGGUUGUAAACUUCUUUUCUUAGGGACGAAGCAAGUGACGGUACCUGAGGAAUAAGCCACGGCUAACCACGGGCAAGCAGCAGCGGGAAUACGUAGGUGGCAAGCGUUAUCCGGAUUUACUGGGUGUAAAGGGGGUGUAGGCGGGACUGCAAGUCAGCUGUGAAAACCAUGGGGACAACCCAUGGCCGGCAUUUGACACUGUAGUUCUUGUGUACUGGAGAGGCAGACGGAAUGCCUAGUGUAGCGGUGAAAUGCGUAGAUAUUAGGAAGAACACCAGUGGCGAAGGCGGUCUGCUGGCCAGCAACUGACGCUGAGGCGCGAAAGCGUGGGGAGCGAACAGGAUUAGAUACCCCUGUAGUC